rnacentral:tRNA from 1 species
GCCUCAGUAGCUCAGCUUGGUUAGAGCGACUGGCUGUUAACCAGUAGGUCAUCGGUUCAAAUCCGAUCUGAGGCG